AACAGGAAGAAGCUUGCUUCUUUGCUGACGAGUGGCGGACGGGUGAGUAAUGUCUGGGAAACUGCCUGAUGGAGGGGGAUAACUACUGGAAACGGUAGCUAAUACCGCAUAACGUCGCAAGACCAAAGAGGGGGACCUUCGGGCCUCUUGCCAUCGGAUGUGCCCAGAUGGGAUUAGCUAGUAGGUGGGGUAACGGCUCACCUAGGCGACGAUCCCUAGCUGGUCUGAGGGGAUGACCAGCCACACUGGAACUGAGACACGGUCCAGACUCCUACGGGAGGCAGCAGUGGGGAAUAUUGCACAAUGGGCGCAAGCCUGAUGCAGCCAUGCCGCGUGUAUGAAGAAGGCCUUCGGGUUGUAAAGUACUUUCAGCGGGGAGGAAGGGAGUAAAGUUAAUACCUUUGCUCAUUGACGUUACCUGCAGAAGAAGCACCGGCUAACUCCGUGCCAGCAGCCGCGGUAAUACGGAGGGUGCAAGCGUUAAUCGGAAUUACUGGGCGUAAAGCGCACGCAGGCGGUUUGUUAAGUCAGAUGUGAAAUCCCCGGGCUCAACCUGGGAACUGCAUCUGAUACUGGCAAGCUUGAGUCUCGUAGAGGGGGGUAGAAUUCCAGGUGUAGCGGUGAAAUGCGUAGAGAUCUGGAGGAAUACCGGUGGCGAAGGCGGCCCCCUGGACGAAGACU
rnacentral:rRNA from 1 species